rnacentral:rRNA from 1 species
GAUGAACGCUGGCGGCGUGCUUAAUACAUGCAAGUCGAACGGACAGACCCUGCGCUUGUGCGGUGCUCGAUUGGCGCGCGGGGGAGUAAAACAUGUGUAACCUGCACUUAUAUGUGGGGUAACUUCUCGGAAAUCGGGCGAAAAUCCGGUAUAAGCUCCUGCUGCACGGGGUGCAAUGGAAAGAUUCGGUGGUUGGGGAUGGAAUCGCGGCUUCUUAGCUUGAUGGUCAGGUAGCGGCGUACCAAGGCUACGACGGGGAGCCGACCUAGCAGGGCGAUCGGCCACACGGGAACUGAGACACGGGCCAGACGCCUACGGGAGGCAGCAGUAGGGAAUCUUCCGCAAUGGGCGAAAGCCUGACGGAGCAACGCCGCGUGAGUGAAGAAGGUCUUCGGAUCGUAAAACUCUGUUAUUAGGGAAGAACAAAUGUGUAAGUAACUAUGCACGUCUUGACGGUACCUAAUCAGAAAGCCACGGCUAACUACGUG